ACGUGUUAACCAAGUGUAUAGACAAUGCUAGUGUUAGCGAGAAUUGUAUUUUCUCCUACGCCUUUUCUAAGCGUGUAGACAACCGUCUCAGGGAGGUGAAUGGGUUAGACGAUGGCACUACGACUAUAUCCGUUCCACAUUCACAGCCGUUUAACGAGAUGCAUGUAGCAGUCUGGUCAAUAGUGUUUAUACUAUUUUCAACGCAAAAUGCAUAUGCAAUCCUAUCCCUCUUCAG